UACGUAGGGUGCGAGCGUUGUCCGGAAUUAUUGGGCGUAAAGAGCCUGUAGGCGGUCUGUCGCGUCUGCUGUGAAAAUCCGGGGCUCAACCCCGGACUUGCAGUGGGUACGGGCAGACUAGAGUGUGGUAGGGGAGACUGGAAUUCCUGGUGUAGCGGUGAAAUGCGCAGAUAUCAGGAGGAGCACCGAUGGCGAAGGCGGGUCUCUGGACAGUUCCUGACGCUGAGGCACGAAGGCCAGGGGAGCAAACGGG
rnacentral:rRNA from 1 species